CAUCAGUGGAGAGGGCAUGCUCAUCUCAGUCCAAAAUCACCGAUGGGAGACUGAACGCCUGUGUGGCUGCAUGCCCGCUCAGGGGCCCGGCUGCACACACAGGCCUUGCUCCGAUGAGUUCUGGAUCCGCUCUCCUGAGCUCGUGAGUGAUGCCAGAGCAAUAUCCAACAGAGGUUUGACCAAAAUCUUGGUGCAGUGGCCUAGCCAAACUGACACAUGAAGUCAACCAUCACAGAGGCCCAGCGAGAGUGCAACAUUGAGUAAAUUCCCAGGGCCGUGAAAAAUUGAGGGAAAAGUGAAACAUCAAAUCCCAAAAGAGAUCCUUUUCUUAAAGUGCUGAAAGUCAAUUCAACAAGUAUUUACUGAGCUUCUACCCCUGCCCUUGGGGACGCUGUGAUGCAAAAUCGAGAAUUUUCCCCAAAGGAAAACUACUGAGAGAAAAUCAUGGAAGGAGAAUGAAAA
rnacentral:lncRNA from 1 species